CUCUCUCUCUUCUCUCUCGUCCGCGCCUUCAGAAACGAAAAUCUUCGACUGACCCGACCCGGACCCGGUCGAUCCGACCCGACUUUUCCGGCGAGCUCCGGCCAUCUCCGGCGACGAGACUUUCCAGAUCAGUUCGCCUCCUCCGUGCGCUCCUCCCUGUGGUGUUCUCUAGCGCCGAUUCUCGGUGGUGACGGCGAUAGAAGGCGGUGCAGAUUGGAGUUUUCGGACCCGACCGGAAAUCCCUAUUCCGACGUCGGAAAGGCUUCGAGUUUUCUUGGUUGAGCUCAGAGCAGCCUCGCCGAUCGAUCCUUGGUGUUUGUUUGGAUCGAUUCACGUGAAACUUCGAUCAACUCAGUUGGGUUUACUGUUCACGGCUUGUGAGGUGCUUCUAAAGGUGAAUUGGACGAGUUGUUGGUGAUAGUUUUGGUUCGGUUCUGUAUAGAAGACGCAGCGGGAGUUUCGAGGGGUUAAUCCUGCAGGGUAGGAUAAUCGGGGCUGAAGCCGAGGUAGCUUGUUGGCAACAGAACAGGUAGG